GAUGAACGCUGGCGGCGUGCCUAAUACAUGCAAGUCGAGCGAACGGACGAGAAGCUUGCUUCUCUGAUGUUAGCGGCGGACGGGUGAGUAACACGUGGAUAACCUACCUAUAAGACUGGGAUAACUUCGGGAAACCGUAGCUAAUACCGGAUAAUAUUUUGAACCGCAUGGUUCAAAAGUGAAAGACGGUCUUGCUGUCACUUAUAGAUGGAUCCGCGCUGCAUUAGCUAGUUGGUAAGGUAACGGCUUACCAAGGCAACGAUGCAUAGCCGACCUGAGAGGGUGAUCGGCCACACUGGAACUGAGACACGGUCCAGACACCUACGGGAGGCAGCAGUAGGGAAUCUACCGCAAUGGGCGAAAGCCUGACGGAGCAACGCCGCGUGAGUGAUGAAGGUCUUCGGAUCGUAAAACUAUGUUAUUAGGGAAGAACAAAUGUGUAAGAAACUAUGAACGUAUUGACGGUACCUAAUCAGAAAGCCACGGCUAACUACGU
rnacentral:rRNA from 1 species